rnacentral:rRNA from 1 species
AUCCUGCGCCGAAGAUUUCCGGGGCUAAAACUUACUACCGAAGCUACGGCAUCAGUAAUGAUGGGUAGGGGAGCUUCCCAUACGGGUUGAAGCAUGACCGUAAGGACAUGUGGACAGUAUGGGAGUGAGAAUGUUGGCAUGAGUAGCGAGAUGUGGGUGAGAAUCCCACAGGCCGUAAACCCAAGGUUUCCAGGGGAAGGUUCGUCCGCCCUGGGUUAGUCGGGACCUAAGCUGAGGCCGAAAGGCGUAGG